rnacentral:rRNA from 1 species
AUGGGCAUCUUACUGAUGAUAUAUGCAUCACUUUCUCUUUUGCUACUUGGGUCACUAGGAAACCUAACAGCGUUAGCAUCUGGAGUUGUAACAAGCCACAACCCCGAAGGGAAUUGGGCGCAUCCAUCACUUGCCAUGCUUGAUGGUUGCCUGAAGACAUGCGGCGAUCUGAGCUUCGACUACCCCUUUGGCAUUGGAUCCAGGUGCUCCCGGGGGCCUGAUUUCAAUCUCACUUGCGACGACACAGCUCAGUCCCCCAGACUUUUCUUGCGUGACGGCAUCACCGAAGUAAUUGACAACAUCGUCGUUGCUAGCGAUGGAGAUUACUACGACAAUGAUUAUGGAAUCAUUACCUCCUUUUGGCAUACUAUCCCCAUGAAGUCUGGUGUCCAUGUCUACUACUUGUCUUUCCAACCGCCUGGUAGAUCCUUCAGCCGUGGGGAAACCAUUCUGAACAUCACUGGUUGCGAUCUGGAUGUGUAUUGGGUCAACAAUAACACACACAGAACAACAUGGGUCUGUGGAACUGUGUGUCCGGACCAAGCAAUCACAGAGACCAUGUCGAGGCUCAACUGCAGUGGCAUCGGAUGUUGCAGUUUUCCUGUCACAGGUCUGCUUCCUGAUGCUUUUCAGCUCAAAUUUGUCCACCACCACAACAAAACUAGCACCGCAACACCCUCUAACCAGACCUCUAUGCUGUGGGACAGAAUCAGCAUAAGUGACGAUGAGACCGCAGUUUGGUGGAACAUAGUUGGUCAACCCAACUGUGCUAGCACCGUGCAAAACAGGUCAACGUAUGCCUGUAUCAGCAGGCAUUCAUUGUGCCGCGAUGAAAGUGUGACAUCAAACAACGGCUACAACUGCAUCUGUAAUGCUGGCUAUGCAGGCAGCCCCUUCCUUCAAGAUGGCUGUUCCAGAGAUGAAGGGUAUAAUCCAAUUCCGAGCAGAGCUAAUUGUACCCGUUGGUGUGGUAACAUUAGUGUGCCAUACCCAUUCGGCUUAGAAGAGGGUUGCUUUGCCAGGGAACAAUUCCAACUUAACUGUGCAAAUAUGGCAUCAUCAACUGUCCUCAUGUUUGAGUUUGACCAGGUAAUGAGCCUGAAUGUUGACGAAGGGACCAUUAAGUCCAUCGGGUCUGACCAACAAGGUGCAUCAUUUUACCACAUAUUUAGCAGGCGUGCUCUUUUUGUUGGAUAUGGCUACUUCUAUUCAAUGCAGUGGGUUGCAGCUAAUCUAAGUUGCAUAGAGGCCCAACAGAAUAUAUCUGGUUAUGCUUGUGUAAGCACCAACAGCAAGUGUGUAGCAGUAGAGGCUAAAAUUGACUAUGGUGAAUUGAGCUAUAUUGGGUACCGCUGUAAAUGCUCAGAUGGCUUCCGAGGAAAUCCAUACACCCAAAGUGGUUGUCAAGAUAUUGAUGAAUGCCUUCAACCAAACAUUUGUAAGGGGAUCUGCCAUAAUAUUGAAGGAAGCUUCUAUUGUACUGAAUGUCCUCACAAGACUGAGUACGAUCUACACAAAAUGCAGUGUACAACAACGAAACAACAUACUCUGCUUUCAGGUAUUAUCAUUGGGUUAUCUGGUGGCUUCGGCAUUCUAGCUCUGAGUUUUGGUACAGUAUUUCUCAUUCGUGUAUGGAAAAGAAAUAUUCAGCAACAACUACGGAAGAAUUAUUUUCGGAAGAACCAAGGUCUUCUACUAGAAACAUUGAUAUCAUCUGAUGAAAGUGCAAAUGACAAAACAAAGAUUUUCUCGUUAGAAGAGCUAGAAAAGGCAACAGACAACUUUGAUAGGGCCCGCAUUAUUGGCUGUGGGGGCCAUGGCAUGGUUUACAAAGGCAUGUUAUCUGAUCAACGUGUAGUUGCAAUAAAAAAAUCUAAGGUCAUUGAAAAGGCUGAGAUCACUCAAUUCAUCAAUGAGGUCGUUAUCCUCUCACAAGUAAAUCAUAGAAAUAUUGUGAAGCUCUUCGGGUGUUGUCUGGAAACUGAGGUUCCACUGCUUGUGUACGAAUAUAUAUCUUGUGGCUCACUGUCUAAAGUUCUCCAUGCUGACUCAAGCAAUAGUUUUUCUUUGUCCUGGGAUGAUUACGUAAGGAUUGCCUUGGAAACAGCAGGAGCACUAUCUUAUCUCCACUCAGCGGCUUCUAAAAAAAAACUGUAA